GUGGACUCUAGCUGCCAAAGGCGCUUAUCCUUCUGAACAGAGCGCUUUGCUCAGCCAGUGUAGACAUGGC
ensembl:miRNA microRNA 1251